GAGGAUGGGAGGGGAGAGGAAGGAAAAAAGGAGAAGAGGAGUCGAGUUAAUAGGCCAUUGCAGACGACUGUCCUGCCAGUUUUAGGCCAAGUGGACGACCUUGCAUGCCUGCAUGCCGGAGUUGGGGAGGACGUCACCGCAGAGAUGGACUGUCCGGUCCAGAGAGAGA